CUGAAUGCACGUUCUAGAAAGCAAAUAUUUGACAGAUGUGUGUGAGAAAAGUGCUAAAGAAAAUUAAAAACUAGAAAAUACAUACACACGAUGUUGUAUGUGGGACUAUAUAGAGACAGCGGUCGGCUUGGCGAGAUGUUGAUAGCGUAUUCAGAAUGUCAGAUGAGCACGUUCAACUCGGCCGAGGAUUGACGGCCCAUCCAAUUGAGUAGGUGUAGAUGUAGGUGUAGCUGUACAACAUGUAUCUGCAAUUGUAUCUGUAUCUGUAUCUCGUACUCGUACUCGUUCUGCGAUGCGAUGCGAUGCGAUGCUAUACGAUGCGAAUCGUAUAGUUGAAUUCAAUUCUGUGCAAUCAGCGGCGUUUAACGACAUUCUAUAUACAAUAUAUUGUGGUACAUGGGUAAACAUCGCAGAGCAUUAACAAGGCGUUGAUUGGAUUUUGAAUGAGACUGCGAUUAUCACACAUCAGCAGCAUAAUCGCCUCUCUACACUGCUCCAAAAUCAACCCAACGAACAAAAAUACUAGCUAUGCUAAUUUUGCACCAUUUACUAAUCUGUGUUCUCAACAUUUAAUUUAUUCAAUUAACAUUUAUUGUCACUAGGACAACGGGACACUACGCC